rnacentral:rRNA from 1 species
UACAGAGGUCCCAAGCGUUGUUCGGAAUCACUGGGCGUAAAGCGCGUGUAGGCGGCUUCGUAAGUCUGGUGUGAAAGCCCGGGGCUCACCCCCGGAAGUGCACUGGAAACUGCAAGGCUCGAGUACCGGAGAGGAGGGUGGAAUUCCUGGUGUAGCGGUGAAAUGCGUAGAUAUCAGGAGGAACACCGGUGGCGAAGGCGGCCCUCUGGACGGAUACCGACGCUGAGACGCGAAAGCGUGGGGAGCAAACAGG